CGUGAUCAAACAUGUUCACAUGUCUCUUCUCUGUUACUGUCUCACUGCUCUGUGCUGCAGGUCUUGUUGAGGGGAGUGAAGUCACUCAGACACCCACCAUACUCUGGAAACUGAAAGACAGUGAUGCUCUGAUGAACUGCAGUCACACUAAGGGAUCUAGCUACUUCCAGAUGUACUGGUACAGACAGCUUCCAGGAGAGGGAAUUAAGCAGGGCAGUUGUUUAGUAGCAUGGUUCAUCAGAGGCCUGUGGCACUAACAGAAGGUCCUGGAGGAGACGUUCAACUCACCUGCAGCCAUACGAUCCCUAACUACUACGUGAUACUAUGGUACAAACAGUCAGCAGGAGACACUGCUAUGAAACUCAUUGGUUAUGCAAAUUACAAGUUAAUAACCAUGGAGAAAUCAUUUGAAAAGCACUUUAAUGUGAGUGGAGACGGUGGGAAAGAGGCUUAUCUUCAUCUAGUGAGUCUGAGAGGACCUGAACACAGUGCAGUUUAUUACUGUGCAGCCAGCCAACACAGUGAUGUAGCCUUCCUCCUGUUCUCUACUAAAACCCUGUCUGAUGGUAAUAUUAGACCACGGCUCAGAAC
ensembl:lncRNA